rnacentral:rRNA from 1 species
AUUGAACGCUGGCGGUAUGCUUUACACAUGCAAGUCGAACGGCAGCAUAGGUGCUUGCACCUGAUGGCGAGUGGCGAACGGGUGAGUAAUGCAUCGGAACGUGCCCAGUCGUGGGGGAUAACGCAGCGAAAGCUGUGCUAAUACCGCAUACGAUCUAUGGAUGAAAGCGGGGGACCUUCGGGCCUCGCGCGAUUGGAGCGGCCGAUGUUAGAUUAGGUAGUUGGUGAGGUAAAGGCUCACCAAGCCUACGAUCUAUAGCUGGUCUGAGAGGACGACCAGCCACACUGGAACUGAGACACGGUCCAG